GGAGAGAUGCCAGAGUGGCCGAACGGGGCGGUCUCGAAAACCGUUGUGUCCUUUAUUGGAUACCCAGGGUUCGAAUCCCUGUCUCUCCG
rnacentral:tRNA from 1 species